GACGAACGCUGGCGGCGUGCCUAAUACAUGCAAGUUGAGCGCUGAAGGUUGGUACUUGUACCAACUGGAUGAGCAGCGAACGGGUGAGUAACGCGUGGGGAAUCUGCCUUUGAGCGGGGGACAACAUUUGGAAACGAAUGCUAAUACCGCAUAAAAACUUUAAACACAAGUUUUAAGUUUGAAAGAUGCAAUUGCAUCACUCAAAGAUGAUCCCGCGUUGUAUUAGCUAGUUGGUGAGGUAAAGGCUCACCAAGGCGAUGAUACAUAGCCGACCUGAGAGGGUGAUCGGCCACAUUGGGACUGAGACACGGCCCAAACUCCUACGGGAGGCAGCAGUAGGGAAUCUUCGGCAAUGGACGAAAGUCUGACCGAGCAACGCCGCGUGAGUGAAGAAGGUUUUCGGAUCGUAAAACUCUGUUGGUAGAGAAGAACGUUGGUGAGAGUGGAAAGCUCAUCAAGUGACGGUAACUACCCAGAAAGGGACGGCUAACUACGAG
rnacentral:rRNA from 1 species